GCUAGCUACAGGCUUAACACAUGCAAGUCGAGGGGCAGCAUGGUCUUAGCUUGCUAAGGCCGAUGGCGACCGGCGCACGGGUGAGUAACACGUAUCCAACCUGCCGUCUACUCUUGGACAGCCUUCUGAAAGGAAGAUUAAUACAAGAUGGCAUCAUGAGUCCGCAUGUUCACAUGAUUAAAGGUAUUCCGGUAGACGAUGGGGAUGCGUUCCAUUAGAUAGUAGGCGGGGUAACGGCCCACCUAGUCUUCGAUGGAUAGGGGUUCUGAGAAGAAGGUCCCCCACAUUGGAACUGAGACACGGUCCAAACUCCUACGGGAGGCAGCAGUGAGGAAUAUUGGUCAAUGGGCGAGAGCCUGAACCAGCCAAGUAGCGUGAAGGAUGACUGCCCUAUGGGUUGUAAACUUCUUUUAUAAAGGAAUAAAGUCGGGUAUGGAUACCCGUUUGCAUGUACUUUAUGAAUAAGGAUCGGCUAACUCCGUGCCAGCAGCCGCGGUAAUACGGAGGAUCCGAGCGUUAUCCGGAUUUAUUGGGUUUAAAGGGAGCGUAGAUGGAUGUUUAAGUCAGUUGUGAAAGUUUGCGGCUCAACCGUAAAAUUGCAGUUGAUACUGGAUAUCUUGAGUGCAGUUGAGGCAGGCGGAAUUCGUGGUGUAGCGGUGAAAUGCUUAGAUAUCACGAAGAACUCCGAUUGCGAAGGCAGCCUGCUAAGCUGCAACUGACAUUGAGGCUCGAAAGUGUGGGUAUCAAAC
rnacentral:rRNA from 1 species